UCUUGGGAGGGGGACGAGGCCCCGGCCUCGCUCCUUGUGCCGCUGCGGGUCAUGGGGAGACGGAUCUGAGGGAAUGGGGUUGUUCUAUCGCACGGCAAGCCCUAGGGGAAAAAGGUGACCGUUUCCAUAAGAAGUCACUUUCCUGCCAAAGGCAAGGUUCUACUUUUCCAUUGAGGAGCCUUUAGUCUUUGCUGGUGCAGGGCCCAGAAGGUGGAAGAAGAAGGGACAGCUGAAGGUAGAUGAGUUUUGUGGACUCCCAAGGCAGCAUCUCCUUCUGUCACUGCAUGAGGCAGAUUGUUGCCUGGCUGGAGCACUGGUCUCACUCCAGUACUUUGGCAACACUCCAUUGAUCUAGUAGAUGUUACUGCUAAAUAUUUUUAGAAGUGCCCUGAAAUGUCUGGAAUUAAACAGCUGGUGUAGGGUAAGGGUUUGCCACCACCAAAACCCUUCAGCCAGAGGUGAAUGAGUUACAUUUGUGCUAAGCCAGAGGACCAAGUGAGAGUCUCCUGUGAUCUCAUGUGCUUGCACAAGGACUGGAUGGUGAUCAGCCUUGGUGCCUGAUAAAGAAGGUGACCAUAAAUGCGAUGCCACUUCUGGCCAGCCACUGCCCUUGUAAGCUGUGUGGGAGGCAGUGUGUUUUCAGUGGAAGAUCUGUUGCUGGACAUCCGGCUUCCUCCUUCCAUCUGCUCUCUACCAGGGACUUGCCAUUGUAACAACUGCGCCUGCAAAAUCAGUAUGAAAAAGAUAAAGCUGACUGGAGCACUUCUAAGAUUCAUUUAAAUCAACCCGAAUAAAAUUACUGCAGAUUCAAAGUGA